rnacentral:rRNA from 1 species
CCUACGGGUGGCAGCAGUGAGGAAUAUUGGUCAAUGGGCGCGAGCCUGAACCAGCCAAGUCGCGUGAGGGAGGACGGCCCUACGGGUUGUAAACCUCUUUUGCCGGGGAGCAACGGGCGUCACGUGUGGCGCCACUGAGAGUACCCGGAGAAAAAGCAUCGGCUAACUCCGUGCCAGCAGCCGCGGUAAUACGGAGGAUGCGAGCGUUAUCCGGAUUUAUUGGGUUUAAGGGGUGCGUAGGCGGAUCGUUAAGUCAGUGGUCAAAUUGAGGGGCUCAACCCCUUCCCGCCAUUGAAACUGGCGCUCUUGAGUGGAAGAGAAGUAUGCGGAAUGUAUGGUGUAGCGGUGAAAUGCUUAGAGAUCAUACAGAACACCGAUUGCGAAGGCAGCUUACCAAACUAUAUCUGACGUUGAGGCACGAAAGCGUGGGUAGCAAACAGGAUUAGAUACCCUUGUAGUC